AGUCAACUUUUUCUCAGAGAAGUUUUUUGAGGGCUAGCAUGAAUAUUUCAUUUGAGAUAGCGCACUCCAUCCCUUCAAGAGAAGGGAGACCCAAGCGCUCGCAGAUCGUCGACGGUUCAGAUGUGACGAUAGGCGAAAGUAGGUAAAGAGAAACCCUAGGACCUUCAUAAUGACACUCUCUAAAAGUGUCGGGCUAAGUCUUUGUAAAAGGAUAUGUCAAAACAGGGCGAGGUUGGCUGAUAGCGACACGAAGAGGACACGGAUAAGACCUGAAAAGGUAGCAAGUAGGGCGUGCAGACGCUUGUAAAAAGUCCGUUUGAGAUUUGCAAUAGUCUCAGAGUAAUCUGAACC
rnacentral:ncRNA from 1 species